rnacentral:rRNA from 1 species
UACGAAGGUGGCGAGCGUUGUUCGGAUUUACUGGGCGUAAAGAGCACGUAGGCGGUUGGGUAAGCCUCUUGGGAAAGCUCCCGGCUUAACCGGGAAAGUUCGAGGGGAACUACUCAGCUAGAGGACGGGAGAGGAGCGCGGAAUUCCCGGUGUAGCGGUGAAAUGCGUAGAUAUCGGGAAGAAGGCCGGUGGCGAAGGCGGCGCUCUGGAACGUACCUGACGCUGAGGUGCGAAAGCGUGGGGAGCAAACAGG